rnacentral:rRNA from 1 species
UACGAAGGUGGCAAGCGUUGUUCGGAUUUACUGGGCGUAAAGGGAGCGUAGGUGGUUAGGUAAGCCCUCCGGGAAAUCUUCAGGCUUAACCUGAAAAGGUCGGGGGGGACUGCCUGGCUAGAGGACGGGAGAGGAGCGCAGAAUUCCCGGUGUAGCGGUGAAAUGCGCAGAUAUCAGGAAGAACACCCGUGGCGAAGGCGGCUCUCUGGGACGGUACUGACGCUGAGACGCGAAAGCGUGGGGAGCGAACAGG